GAUGAACGCUAGCUACAGGCUUAACACAUGCAAGUCGAGGGGUAACAAGAGGAAAGCUUGCUUUUCUUGUUGACGACCGGCGCACGGGUGAGUAACGCGUAUCCAACCUGCCUAUAACUAGGGAAUAACCUUGAGAAAGUAAGACUACUACCCCAUGACUUCCUUUGAUUACUUCAAAUUCGGAAUACAGAUUUAUCGGUUAUAGAUGGGGAUGCGUCUGAUUAGCUUGUUGGCGGGGUAACGGCCCACCAAGGCAACGAUCAGUAGGGGUUCUGAGAGGAAGGUCCCCCACAUUGGAACUGAGACACGGUCCAAACUCCUACGGGAGGCAGCAGCGAGGAAUAUUGGUCAAUGGGCGGAAGCCUGAACCAGCCAAGUAGCGUGCAGGAUGACGGCCCUAUGGGUUGUAAACUGCUUUUAUACAGGAAUAAAGUUAGCCACGUGUGGUUAUUUGUAGGUACUGUAUGAAUAAGGACCGGCUAAUUCCGUGCCAGCCGCCGCAGUAA
rnacentral:rRNA from 1 species